GCAAGUCGAGCGGCAGCGGGAGAGUAGCUUGCUACUUUUUGCCGGCGAGCGGCGGACGGGUGAGUAAUGCCUGGGGAUCUGCCCAGUCGAGGGGGAUAACAGUUGGAAACGACUGCUAAUACCGCAUACGCCCUACGGGGGAAAGCAGGGGACCUUCGGGCCUUGCGCGAUUGGAUGAACCCAGGUGGGAUUAGCUUGUUGGUGAGGUAAUGGCUCACCAAGGCGACGAUCCCUAGCUGGUCUGAGAGGAUGAUCAACCACACUGGAACUGAGACACGGCCCAGACUCCUACGGGAGGCAGCAGUGGGGAAUAUUGCACAAUGGGGGAAACCCUGAUGCAGCCAUGCCGCGUGUGUGAAGAAGGCCUUCGGGUUGUAAAGCACUUUCAGCGAGGAGGAAAGGUUGAUACCUAAUACGUAUCAGCCGUGACGUUACUCGCAGAAGAAGCACCGGCUAACUCCGUGCCAGCAGCCGCGGUAAUACGGAGGGUGCAAGCGUUAAUCGGAAUUACUGGGCGUAAAGCGCACGCAGGCGGUUGGAUAAGUUAGAUGUGAAAGCCCCGGGCUCAACCUGGGAAUUGCAUUUAAAACUGUCCAGCUAGAGUC
rnacentral:rRNA from 1 species